CCUCCUCUCUCUAAGUGUCCCUCAAGCUCACUCACAUCCUACACCUCCGUAUGAUUUCUCAUUCUGUCAGCUAACUUCAGUCUUUUUCUUGCUUUCUAAUUUUCUCCUGACCUGACACUGCACCCUCUCCUGUCUCACACUGCUCUCCGGUUAAAUCCUUAUUUCUCUUGACAGGGAUUUGUUUCCAUCAUUCACUUUGUUUAACCGGGGCUAGUGUAAAUAAUAAAUAUUUUUGCAAACAGUUAUGGUGCCUUUUAGGGGAGCGUUUUGUAAGAAUUGUAAACUUUGAACGAAAUAUAAUCCAGGGAAAGAACAAACAAAUAACGGGAUAUAAAUAACAUUUUCACGAAAGUUAUUAGUCGUAAAUAAAUUAAAACAUGCCCCCCCCCCAAAAAAAAAAAACAAAACAAAACAAAACACAAAUAAACAUAAUUACGUUUCAUCUGAACUUGUAUAACGUUCAGCAAUGUUUGUUGCUGGCCAAUUUAGGCUAAUUGAAAGAGCCAGAUGUUCUUGAACGCAACGUCAAGGAGCCACGUCACAGACGCUUCCUAAUUAGAGACACCUGGUGAGGGUGACUGAUACGAACCUGUCGCUUCAUUCAGGCGAUUUGUACAAAUUUACUAAGGAAAAUGAAAAUAUGCAAUUAAUACUUGCAUCUGCAGAUUAGUUUCCGCAGAGUAAAGUAAAUAUUAAAUAAUUCUUACCUUCUGAAGGUUUUUUGUUUGUUUUCUUUUUGUUUUAUAUUUAUUCAACUUUUCCGUGGAAGGCAGCGCUCCCAAACGUCUAAAGUCAGUCGUUGAAUGCAAGACAGUCUAGCUGUGCGACAGGUCUGAAUGAUACACCUUGUCAGAGCGGGAAGUUCAUCAGCAGCCACUGAGAGCCCUAUCGAUUGAGCUGCCCUGAGCUCCGCCAGUUGAUGCGUGAGGUGAAACCAAAGCACGCCUGGUCACGCCAAGAGGAAAGCGCUUGUGGGAGAGCACGACACCCCAUUGCUCUUUCCACCCAGAUGCCCAGCUGGUGUCACAGUGCGUGUUGGAUGAUGGAGCACCCUCAUUCUGCACUGAGAGCGCUGAAGAGAGCCAGGAGUUUGACAAGACGUGGUCACAGCAAAUUGACUAAUGAAGAUAAAGGAAUCCUAACAUCACAAAAACCAAACAGAACACACCAAAAAGGUAAGUGACACUUUCUGUUCACUAUCUCUGUUGUGAUGCCAAAGCUCAAGUUUUGCUUUUGAUUAGUUUUAUCACACACUUCUUAUUAAUUUCAGCUUCAUAAUAUUUAAUGCACACAUUUAACUGAACACAUUUAACAAAGAAAUACACUUGUGGGUCAUUUCUUUCGUCUCUAAUCCUGUGCCAUAUUUAAACCAGCGAUUGGUCAAAAUUAAACACUGAUCAUAAAUAUUAGACA